AUUGAACGCUGGCGGCAUGCCUUACACAUGCAAGUCGAACGGUAACAGGUCUUCGGAUGCUGACGAGUGGCGAACGGGUGAGUAAUACAUCGGAACGUGCCCGAGAGUGGGGGAUAACGAAGCGAAAGCUUUGCUAAUACCGCAUACGAUCUCAGGAUGAAAGCAGGGGGCCGCAAGGCCUUGCGCUCACGGAGCGGCCGAUGGCAGAGUAGGUAGUUGGUGGGAUAAAAGCGUACCAAGCCGACGAUCGGUAGCUGGUCUGAGAGGACGACCAGCCACACUGGGACUGAGACACGGCCCAGACUCCUACGGGAGGCAGCAGUGGGGAAUUUUGGACAAUGGGCGCAAGCCUGAUCCAGCCAUGCCGCGUGCAGGAUGAAGGCCUUCGGGUUGUAAACUGCUUUUGUACGGAACGAAAAGACUCCUUCUAAUAAAGGGGGUCCAUGACGGUACCGUAAGAAUAAGCACCGGCUAACUACGUGCCAGCAGCCGCCGUAAUAC
rnacentral:rRNA from 1 species